CUGUCCUGAAGUAGGUCUACCUGCUUAAUACACACAGACCUUCAUAUAGGUAAAGCAAAGGCUAUGACUUAACUCUACCUUCAUAUAUUGGGCUGCCUUUAUCACAAUAGUUUCACAGUUUUAAAAACGUGUGUUUUCAAAUGACUGUAUGCUACAUUGAUCUUUGGAUCACACUUGGAAUGUGAAAGGUUUCCUAGUGUUAGUUUUAGGUCUCCCUGAAGUCCGUAGACUUCCACUCUAUUAGUCACCCUAGAACACAGUCAACGAGCCUAACGGAGAUGUGUAUUCAUUAGGGAUAUACUGUAGCUAAAUGUUUAAUGGAGGGCUACGCCAGCGUUUCUUGGACCAAUUCAGAAAUUGGUACACAAGGAGGAGUAGCACUAGUAUUUUUAGGAUUAAGUGAAAAUAGGGAGACAAUGUAUUUGUAUUAAGGGUUUAGUCUUUCAAUCGUGGAUUUGUGCAGAUUCCCUUGGCCUUCCUUCCUGUUUAACUGUUGAUGUCUGGUCUUGCUGUAGAGACUGAAUACAGCAGGAUUAUUGCUGGACUUUUUUUGUUUUCUUAACUAUUUUACAACGUAUUCAUUGACGAAACGAACUCCACUACAAAUACAAGCCUCUACAGAAGAACCUCUGGUCCUUUUUUUGUUAGAAAUAAAAAGACAAAGAUGUUUUAUUUUCUAAGAGUAUGUAGUAGUAGCAUUAGUGAAAUAACCUACUAUGAUGGAUCAUAUUUUUUAUUUUUUUAUCAGUGGGCUAUUUUGUUUUUUUUUGUUCCUUUUUUUUUGUGGAAAGAUUCAGAGACUGUAUCCAGACCUGCCUUACUGUUACAAUAUAUUCCUUUUUUGUGGAAAGAUUCAGAGACUGUAUCCAGACCUGCCUUACUGUUACCAAUAUAUUCCUUUUUUUGUGGAAAGAUUCAGAGACUGUAUCCAGACCUGCCUUACUGUUACCAAUAUGUUCCUUUUUUGAACAGGGAGUUAUUCUACCGUAAACUAAGAUUAUUUUUACGUAUUUUUAAUUUUUUUUAAGAUACUUCCACUGACAUUCUUAGAGCUGUCAUUUUAUUGCGAGGAACUGCAGUUCGAUCGGAAUAGUUUUUCUGUUUUUGUCCUCUGUUUUGUAUUUGACCCUCUCCCUCAGUCAACUCGUCUCAGUGCACAAGUCUCCCCUUCUCCAGACACCGCGUAUGAAUCAGAAUCCGUAGCUAGUUGUGACACGUGAGCCUCUGGAUGAAAAGCAGAGUAUCCCUAAAGCAGCGUGGUCGUAUCAGCCCCCCAUGUCGGACUAAACACUUUCAACUCUACACAAGUGAAAACCCCAAAUGCCUAAAGAUCCUCUAUUUGCCAUACUAGAGGGACAUGAAGUCUGACUCCUUCCUCAACAUGUGGACCUGCCCUGAGGAUGUUGGACAUCACUGUUACACCUUCAGCCUUGUUGAUUUCCUGUCAGACUGGUUGUUUUUUAACUCCAUUACACGGA